CAGCCGCCGCGGGAAUACGGAGGGAGCUAGCGUUGUUCGGAAUUACUGGGCGUAAAGCGCACGUAGGCGGCUUUGUAAGUUAGAGGUGAAAGCCUGGAGCUCAACUCCAGAACUGCCUUUAAGACUGCAUCGCUUGAAUCCAGGAGAGGUGAGUGGAAUUCCGAGUGUAGAGGUGAAAUUCGUAGAUAUUCGGAAGAACACCAGUGGCGAAGGCGGCUCACUGGACUGGUAUUGACGCUGAGGUGCGAAAGCGUGGGGAGCAAACAGGAUUAGAUACCCGGGUAGUCCCUGUCUCUUAUAC
rnacentral:rRNA from 1 species